rfam:Ictidomys tridecemlineatus contig045923, whole genome shotgun sequence.
GGAGUUGUAACUCAGUGGUAGAGGGCUUGUCUUGCACAUAGGAGGCACUGGGUUUAAUCCUCAGCACCA